CCUACGGGGGGCAGCAGUGAGGAAUAUUGGUCAAUGGGCGAGAGCCUGAACCAGCCAAGUCGCGUGAAGGAUGACGGCCCUACGGGUUGUAAACUUCUUUUGUCAGGGAGCAAUUGGGUCCACGCGUGGGCUUAGCGAGAGUACCUGAAGAAAAAGCAUCGGCUAACUCCGUGCCAGCAGCCGCGGUAUUACGGAGGAUCCAAGCGUUAUCCGGAUUUAUUGGGUUUAAAGGGUGCGUAGGCGGAUUGAUAAGUUAGCGGUGAAAUGUCCGGGCUGAACUCGGGAAUUGCCUUUCAUACUGGUGAUCUAGAGUGUAGAAGAGGUAGGCGGAAGGUGUGGUGGAGCGGUGAAAUGCUUAGAUAUCAUGCAGAACACCGAUUGCGAAGGCAGCUUAC
rnacentral:rRNA from 1 species